AGUGUAGGCGGUCAAGCAAGUCAGAGGUGAAAGGCAUCGGCUCAACCGAUGUAAGCCUUUGAAACUGUUUGACUUGAGUGCAGGAGAGGUAAGUGGAAUUCCUAGUGUAGCGGUGAAAUGCGUAGAUAUUAGGAGGAACACCAGUGGCGAAGGCGACUUACUGGACUGUAACUGACGCUGAGGCUCGAAAGCGUGGGGAGCGAAUA
rnacentral:rRNA from 1 species